GGUGCAUGAACCGGAUGCAGUGAGAAUGGCACUAACUUUCACAGUUGCAUACAUUUCGAAAAUUCACCAAUCAGGCCUUCACAUGCGAUGUUUUGUAUACAGUAAGAACGACUUCUAAGAAUCUGAUUGGGCAGAUUCCUUGCAAUCGAUUUAUGAGGCACAAAGGUUACAAGUGAAAAAUAUAAAUUCUGUAUAAACUUCUUAAACAAAACAAAACAAACUCAAACAAAAUAGCACGCUCUCUUCUGGUCAGAAUGUUGCAUGGCACUGAAUUGUUACGAAUUAUCGAGAAAAAUUUAUCUGCUGAAGGCAAAUCCAUAUUUAAAGGUGUUUUUACUGCUGAUGAAAUCCCUAAAAAUGUAGAAAAUAAUUCUACAUUUAUUGCCAACAUAUCAUCUAAUUCAAAAAAAGAUAAUCUUCAUUGGGUAGCAUUUUAUGUAAGAGAUGAAAACCAUCUGGAAUAUUUCGACUCAUUUGGUAAAAGUCCAAAAGUUUAUGGAGGUUUUAUAAAAUCUUUUGCUAAGAAAUAUCGCACGAUAAUAAGAAAUAAAAAAUGUUACCAAGACAAAAGAUCUACUGUAUGUGGUGGUUAUGCAAUUUUAUUUAUCCUUUCAAAAUGCGAGAAAUUAUCUUUUGGCGCAUUUCUAAAACAUUUAAGGAAGGCCAAGCAAAAGUAUGGCACUUACGAUCGAUAUGUUGGAGAAUUUUUAGAGAGCCAGUUCAUUGGAGUUAAAUAUCGUUUAAUUGUCGAAGAUUCGAAAUCUAUUUAAAUAAGAAACGAAUAGAAAAACUUAUAAAAGGUUUCUCUCAUAGAAACCUAGACAGACCCCUGUUCUAAUUGAUGGUUGGUAUGAUAUCUAUCCCCUAGAAAGCAAGCCAUUUUCUUGAACAAUUACUGUGCCUUGUUCUGCAAUGUUUGCAAAUGUCAAGUAUCAUUAUAUAUGAAGCAAAAUUUUCUUUUGCUCUGAAAUGUGUCAAGAAAGUUGUUGGUCAUUGAAAGAGAAAUAAGAGAUUGUUCCCAGUGAAAUAAACUUCAUUUCAGAGACUUUAAAAGUGUAAUCUGUUCUCAUCAGGACACUGAUCUCUCCUGUCCUGAUCUCUGUACUCUUUUUCAUGAUCUUAUGAAAAACUUCAGAAUUGAUAUCUUCUUCACUGGAUAAAUGGAAUUAACAUUCAGAUUUUGUUUACGGAGUUACCACAGCCUAUAAGAAAAAAUAUAUAGGCCAAGUGCUAUAAUAGAAGGCUUUUCAAUUGGCGUUAAAAUUGAAUCAAACAAGAUGUGACAGCUGUAAUUAUAUGUAAAUUUGCUUCCUCCAAUCAAUGCACAGUUACAAAUAGACCAUCAUAGUAUUUAUAGUAUAUCUAUUAUCAUAGUAUAUUUAUUGUAUUUAAUUUAUUGGCUUUUUUUACUUGUCUAUCAUGUUUUGGCUCAACUCUAAUGUAAACAAGUUUGUACCCUUAGUUCAAGAAGUAUAGUGAUUAGGUUUAAAUUAAACCUGAAAAUUAUAAAGAUAUAUUAAUUUUUUUAACUACUGAAUAUGAUUUGUUUAAAAGAGGUUAAUUUUGAGCAUUUUCUAAUUGUUAUAGUCCAUCAAAAAUGUUUUAUUGUUCUAUUGUUGUGGAAGAUUUAAUGUGUUUUUUAACUAAUGACUGAAUGAAAAUGAAAAACUUGUAUUAUUUUUAUCAAUAUUUAUACCACCUGUUUUUAUAUUUAUUGUACGUUAUUUAUUUUAUGUUAUAUUAUCUGUUAAUAAAGGAUUAUUGGUA